UGGGGAAUCUUGCGCAAUGGGCGAAAGCCUGACGCAGCAACGCCGCGUGCGGGAUGACGGCCUUCGUGGUUGUAAACCGCUUUCAGCAGGGACGAAAAUGACGGUACCUGCAGAAGAAGCCCCGGCUAACUACGUGCCAGCAGCCGCGGUAAUACGUAGGGGGCAAGCGUUGUCCGGAAUCAUUGGGCGUAAAGAGCUCGUAGGCGGUUCAGUAAGUCGGGUGUGAAAGCUCCGAGCUCAACUCGGAGAGGCCACUCGAUACUGCUGUGACUAGAAUCCAGUAGGGGAGUGUGGAACUCCUGGUGUAGCGGUGAAAUGCGCAGAUAUCAGGAAGAACACCAGCGGCGAAGGCGGCACUCUGGGCUGGUAUUGACGCUGAGGAGCGAAAGUGUGGGUAGCAAACAGG
rnacentral:rRNA from 1 species